rnacentral:rRNA from 1 species
GACGGAAGGUGCAAGCGUUGCUCGGAAUCACUGGGCGUAAAGGGUGCGUAGGCGGCUUGGUAAGUUGGGUGUGAAAGCCCCGGGCUCAGCCCGGGAAGGGCACUCGAAACUGCCGAGCUGGAGUGCCGGAGGGGAGAGUGGAAUUCUCGGUGUAGCGGUGAAAUGCGUAGAUAUCGAGAGGAACACCUGCGGCGAAGGCGGGUUGCUGGGCGUGAUGACUGACGCUGAGGCGCGAAAGCCAGGGGAGCGA